rnacentral:rRNA from 1 species
AAGUCGGAUGUGAAAUCCCCGGGCUCAACCUGGGAACUGCAUCCUAAACUGGCAAGCUUGAGUCUCGUAGAGGGGGGUAGAAUUCCAGGUGUAGCGGUGAAAUGCGUAGAUAUCUGGAGGAAUACCCGGUGGCGAAGGCGGCCCCCUGGACUAAGACUGACGCUCAGGUGCGAAAGCGUGGGGAGCAAACAGGAUUAGAUACCCUGGUAGUCCACGCCGUAAACGAUGUCGACUUGGAGGUUGUGCCCUUGAGGCGUGGCUUCCCCGAGCUAACGCGUUAAUUCGACCGCCUGGGGGAGUACGGCCGCGAGGUUAAAACUCAAAUGAUUUGACGGGGGGCCGGCACACCCGGUGGAGCAUGUGGUUUAAUU